CAGGAACAUGAAACGUCCAAUUAAUUUUCCACUUGUGAAGCUUCCUUGGGUGCUCUAUUCGGGCAGAUAGCACUCUGAUUUCCGCAGGAAUUACUGCCUUUGACCUGUAAGCAAGUGAUGCUGUUGUGAGUCUUCAAUGACCAGUCAAAAUGCCAAAUCAGCCUAUAAACAAAAAAAAAGCCGUGAGGGUCUAAAUUACUAGAUUCAUGGGGAUUAUGAGACUUGGCCCUUUUGCUGUGAUGUUCUCUCCCUUUAACGAGGAAAAGUUCAUCGGCUGGAUUUUCCUGCAACUUUUCUCAGUUCUAGCAACUAUUACGUCAACUGAUACAGAUUAAGGUGUUAUUCUGUGAAGCCAGGGGGGGCAUUUUGUACUGCUACAUAAAUCUGUUAUGGAUAUGUACAUAACAAGCAUCUGUCUUUUUUUUUUUUUUUUUU
rnacentral:misc_RNA from 1 species